AGAGUUUGAUCCUGGCUCAGGAUGAACGCUAGCUACAGGCUUAACACAUGCAAGUCGAGGGGAAACGACAUCGAAAGCUUGCUUUUGAUGGGCGUCGACCGGCGCACGGGUGAGUAACGCGUAUCCAACCUGCCCAUCACUUGGGGAUAACCUUGCGAAAGUAAGACUAAUACCCAAUGAUAUCUCUAGAAGACAUCUGAAAGAGAUUAAAGAUUUAUCGGUGAUGGAUGGGGAUGCGUCUGAUUAGCUUGUUGGCGGGGUAACGGCCCACAAGGCGACGAUCAGUAGGGGUUCUGAGAGGAAGGUCCCCCANAUUGGAACUGAGACACGGUCCAAACUCCUACGGGAGCA
rnacentral:rRNA from 1 species